AAAGAAACGGGUCUAGACCCCACACACGCCACUCGGUAAGGAAUUGGGCCUAUAGCUCAGCUGGCUAGAGCACACGACUGAUAAUCGUGAGGUCAGUGGUUCGAGUCCACUUGGGCCCACCAAAUGGGGCUGUAGCUCAGUUGGGAGAGCACCUGCUUUGCAAGCAGGGGGUCACCGGUUCGAGACCGGUCAGCUCCACCACAGGGAUAGAAGGCCCGCAAAGAGCGCGGGCUGGUCGCUGGGGAAGCGGUAGAGAAGGGAUUUAGGGUUUAGUGUGUAGUGCUGAAUAACGCUUUAGGGAUGUAGGAAGUAAGGUGCUAUUGAUCACUGCCCACUCGGAAGAUUGAGUGCGUUAGUUUGUUCUUUGACAGUUGAGGAAGGGAAGGCCAUGUUUGUCAUCUUGCCGAUGGCAGACCUCCAGGUGGAUGCUUGGGGAUAUAU
rnacentral:tRNA from 1 species